CUGUCCCAGAGCAGUAUGACUAAUCUGUUGUGCUUAUUUUACAGGGAUUUUGACAUGAGCAUGUCACCAAUAUUAUUUCAUACUAUGGAUAUUUUAUACCAGUAAAAUGAUAACUGAUACCAAAUAUCCACAGCAAACCAUUCCACUGAAUUACAAGGCUUCAGUACUAUUUCUAAGUUUGACUUGGUCAAAGAUUUUUAUUUUAUAUUUAGUAUAAAAUUAAUUUUUUUAAAAAAGAGUCACAGUAACUACAACAAAUUGAUAAGAAACUUUGACUACCAUAUAAAAUCAACAGGAGAGAAGGGAACUUGAGAAAAAAGGCAUUGUUACUGUUUCUGUUGUUUCUAGGAACAUUUUAAUGAAGGAUAAUUUUUUGAUAUAUUUAAUUGUUGAUUUAAUAUUAAAAAAAUUAUUUACCUAUUUUUAAAAAUAUUUUUGUUUGUUUAAAAAUCUCUGAUACAAAAUAGAUGAUUAUAUAAACAUUUGACAAUAGAAAGAAUGAAAUGAUUCUAAGUUUUAAAUUUCUCAUACAUUCCCUCAUCAUUCCCUAAUUUGUAAAAACAUUUUGACCAAUUUUUUUAUUGCAAGUUUUCAACUUAAGACACCUCACUCAUAUAUAAGAGUCUUUCAGUUGUUUCUGCAGCAGAUUCUUCUUUUUUUUUUUAAAUUUUUUUUUACUCUCAAAAUAACUAUCUUCCAACUCAUUCUUCUUGAAAUUGUAAUAUUCUCACUCAUUUAACCAGCCAUUAUUCCUAUCUUCCUCUUAAAAAGAAGAAGACUUACCAUUUUCCCUGUCUUCCUACAAACUGUGUGAUACCCUUUCUUGGUUAUUCAUUUUUUUGUGGAGCCAUACUAGUUCUUUUCAUCUGUUUUACAAAUCGCUAUAUUAAUUCUUAGACAACUUUCAAAAGUAAAACGUUUUAUUUAUAUUUUUUCUACCAUUUCUACUGACUUCUUGUAAAUAAAGUAAAUUCUACUGAUAUCAGAAAGAAAUGUAUAUCAUUGGGACCUUAAUCCACUGGUUUCAAAUGAACCUCAAGAGUGUCUUACAUUUUAACCUUGGAAUUACUAACUCAAGCUGACAACAAUGUAACAUUCCAGUCAACUAUAGAACCUGUUAUUAUUUGUUUUUAUGUUGGUAUUGUCAUUGUCAUAAGUGUGGUCGUUAUCAUUGUUGUUAAGUAACUCUGGUCAAUUCUGUAUGAGCCGAUAUAGAACUAGAUUGUUGAUCAAAUAAAGCAUUUGAUCUGCAUUUUUAGCUGUGGGCAAUCUUUCCAUCUCUAUUGUAAAUAUAUUGUUCUAAAAGUUACUACUUCAAGCAACUAGUGGUUUGUAUUUUAAAAACAAUAUGGAGUUCAUGUUGAAAAAAUGUUACUGCUACAUUGAGCAAUCAACCAACUACAUAGGAGUUACCUUACUGGCUCUUUUGGUUCAUAUCCUAUGGAUAUAAAGUGGGGAACAAAUUUAGUAAGAGAGAUUUGGUUGCUAUAUUCAGAAUGUCAAGUAACUAUACAGACGCUCCCUCUGUGGUAUGUGUUGUGAUUUUUGUAAAGAAUUUUUGAAGAACUCACUCUAUUUUGUUAAAUGAAUCUAUGGUGGUAAAUGAAUAUGAUAGCCAAUCAAGCAUUCAGCAGAAAAAACCCCACAAAUCUCUAAAUAAGUCAACAUAUAUGCUGUUCAUAUAAGCACUGCCAGUUCCUAUAUUAUCAUUCCAAACCCUCAUCUUCUGAAGAAAUGAACCAUUAAAUCAACCUUGUUAAGAUUUGAACUCUUGCUUGUCCUUAAACUAUGUCUGACUUUAUUCAUCUUGAAUUAUUAUAUAAUUUUUAUAUUGUACCAUUUUUGAAGAAAAAUGAAUAACUGAAUCAACCUGGGUCAGAUUUGAACUUGGAAAUAUUUUUACACUCAUUCCAACACUUGAGCAACAGUUGAUCAUUCACAAAUGCUUACUCCAAACCAAGUAGAGGGACACUGGUUGUAUAUCAAGACAGUUCGGCAGUUUCUACCAUCAAGUAGACCCUGAAAACUUUCUUCAGUGAAUCAAUGAUAUUCCAAUAAAUAUGAUUUAUGCAGUAAA
rnacentral:lncRNA from 1 species